rnacentral:lncRNA from 1 species
UAGAUUCAAGUAGGAAGAAAAAGAAGUAAAGAAACAUGAAGUAUCCAUAAACAAACCAACCAAAUUUUCACUAAGGAAAGUCAAAAUUUCAACGUAAACAAAUUUAUACUAAUUAAUAAUAUAGAUUUUGAGUAUGAACAACAAACAAUGUGGAAGUAGACUCCCAAACACUACCAGCCAAAUAGAUCUGGUCUAUAAACGACCAACUCUAGUCUCAAAUCGACUAACAACCAACACCUUGAUCCUUGCCUUCUCAAACACACUGUGCAGAAAUUUUCUCCCUUCUUCUUGUUGUCAUCCUAAGCUCUAUAUAUAUGAUGGAUCAUGGGGGAUUGGUCUUACAUGCACAAUUGAAAAGAGUUACUUGAGGGUGAAUAUCUUGUGAUUUUUCAUCUAUUUGGUGUUGGGUUCUCAAUUAUGGAGAAGAGGAGUGGAUGAGGAUUGAGGAGUGUGUCUCAAAAUUGUAAGGUG